rnacentral:rRNA from 1 species
UACGAAGGGUGCAAGCGUUACUCGGAAUUACUGGGCGUAAAGCGUGCGUAGGUGGUUCGUUAAGUCUGUCGUGAAAGCCCCGGGCUCAACCUGGGAAUGGCGAUGGAUACUGGCGGGCUAGAGUGCGGUAGAGGAGAGUGGAAUUCCCGGUGUAGCAGUGAAAUGCGCAGAUAUCAGGAGGAACACCGAUGGCGAAGGCAGGUCUCUGGGCAUUAACUGACGCUGAGGAGCGAAAGCAUGGGGAGCGAACAGG